rnacentral:lncRNA from 1 species
AAUGCAACUUUUAUUAUAUUGAAAGAUAACUCAUAAAGAAGCUCUAAAAAGCUUGCCCAUAAAAUAAAAUUGAAGAAAAAAACUUUUAUUGAAAAACAUUACACGAGAGAUAAUGAUGAUAAGUCUCACCAUCCUUUAACUUAUUCAUCUAUUUACAACGGAUCCAACACCUUCUCACCUAUUUUAUAGUAAAUUCAUAGUUCAUUAUUUUGAUUAUACUUAGAUUAUUGCAUUAUUACCAUAAACAGCACACAUAUAUCUCUAUAUUGGAUAUCAAUAUAGACACACACAUAUAGUAUAGAGCGACGUAUAUAAUUCUAAGCAUCAGACCAUGUAACAGGUAUUUCACCCACAUCUAUAUCAAGUCCCAAAGCAUGCCAUACUGCA